rnacentral:misc_RNA from 1 species
GAAAUGCGAUAAGUAAUGUGAAUUGCAGAAUUCAGUGAAUCAUCGAAUCUUUAAACGCACAUUGCGCCCGCCAGUAUUCUGGCGGGCAUGCCUGUUCGAGCGUCAUUACAACCCUCAGGCCCCCGGGCCUGGCGUUGGGGAUCGGCGGAAGCCCCCUGCGGGCACAACGCCGUCCCCCAAAUACAGUGGCGGUCCCGCCGCAGCUUCCAUUGCGUAGUAGCUAACACCUCGCAACUGGAGAGCGGCGCGGCCACGCCGUAAAACACCCAACUUCUGAAUGUUGACCUCGAAUCAGGUAGGAAUACCCGCUGAACUUAAGC